UUUUUUUCAUCUUUGCAACUCUUAAUCUCGCUACUUCCCCCUCUCUCUUCUCUCUUCUUCCUCUCUCUCUUCUUUUCUCUACCGCUGUCUCUGAGCCGCCUUCUUCCCUUUUCCCCAAAGAAGUUGAUGCAGAAAUUCGAAAAGCCCUGGGCACAGAGUUGUUGAAUGGGAUGAGCAAUUAGAGCGGGGAUUUUGUUGGGAGGCAAGAGGGUCCCCCAGGCUCCACAUAGGCCAGGUCGGCGGGCAAGGAAAGACGGCUGACCAGCCCAGCGGGCGCGGUUUGCACAUGGUUUGCACGUCGGGCCGCCUCUUUCUGCCUAUAAUUCAGCAGCCUCUGUGAGGAGUGGUGGAGGAGCUGCGGGAGCCGAGAAGCCCAAGAGCCCUCUGGACCGGGAAGAGUCCCACAGAUGCCCACUCCUCACCACACAACAGAAGGAUCUCUGGUCCUGCCUGCCAGCCCCAGAGGGCACUCAAACUUUGGAGGCCAGCCACCCGGAUGAAGUGAAUAAGGCCUGAAAUUGCUUGUUUGCUCAUAUUGUAAAAUGAUAAUAAUUACCAUUAUUAUUUUAAAACUGCCUAAUUUCUCUAGGGAAAGUAACAGCGAAAGCCUAAAACACACCCCAAAAGGCCCAUAGAACACAGAGGGCCCUCUCUGUCUCUGGCCACUGCAGCCCCCAGGCCACGCAUGGGUAUUUAUUCUUAGGUAUGUUGCUUUUAAGACGAUGUAAUCAGCAUCUUGAGCCGGGCCUCCCUUUGUGAGGCUUCUGUAACUAUGGAAGUGUGAUUUACGCAGAUUUGUCGGGGUCAGAGACGUCUUUCCCUGAGCGCUGUGUAUAUUUAGACAGGACUCGGUUUGGUGUUAAAAAGUGUAUAUGUUGAAUGGAUUCACACACAGUAGCCAACAAUGACCACAUUGUCGGCCCGUGUACAACGCGUAUUGAAACGCAGCGCCCAGACUUCAACUAAUCUGCCCUCAAUAAAGCUGAAAUAAUUAUCCUAA